GCUCUCCUCUCCUGCUAAGCUUUGUUUCCUGGCAGUAAUUAAAACCUUCUGCCACCGCCAUAGCUACUGCUGCUGCUGGAACCGCCAUAGCCACCUUGGUUUCGUGGUUUGACAAAGUAUUGGCCUCCACCACCAUAGGGGCCAGAGCUUCUGCCUCCAAAACUUCCUCCUUUCAUGGGUCCAAAAUUUGAAGAUUGGUUGUUGUAAUUGCCAAAAUCAUUAUAGCUUCCACCACCUCCAAAGUUGCUUCCAUCGUUUCCAAAUCCAUUAUAGCCAUCCCCACUGCCACCGUAUCCACCACCACCUCGACUGCCACCAAAGCCACCUCGCCCACUGACGUUUCCUCCACAGCCAAAGUUGUCAUUCCCACCAAAACCACCUCCACGACCACCACCGAAGUUCCCAGAACAACUUCGACCUCUUUGGCUGGAAGAAGCACUAGCCAUCUCUUGCUUAGAUAAAGCUUUCCUUACUUCACAGUUGUGGCCAUUCACAGUAUGGUAUUUUUGAAUGACAAUCUUGUCUAUAGAGUCAUGGUCGUCAAAUGUUACAAAGGCAAAGCCUCUCUUUUUGCCAUUGCCUCGGUCUGUCAUGAUUUCAAUCACUUCAAUUUCCCCAUAUUGUUCAAAAUAAUCUCUUAGGUGAUGUUCUUCAGUGUCUUCUUUAAUGCCACCGACAAAAAUCUUUUUCACAGUUAAGUGGGCACCAGGUCUUUGAGAAUCUUCUCUCGAGACAGCCCUCUUUGGUUCUACAACUCUUCCAUCCUCCUUGUGUGGCCUUGCAUUCAUGGCUGCAUCCACCUCUUCCACAGUGGCAUAGGUGACAAACCCAAAGCCUCUGGAGUGCUUGGUGUUUGGAUCUCUCAUUACCACACAGUCUGUAAGCAUUCCCCACUUACGGGGAAGCUCAAAAUGGCUCCUCAGACUCUCAUCGGUUGUUUCAAAGCUCAAACCUCCGAUGAAAGCUUCCGCAGCUCUUCAGUCUCUUUGGGAGACUCUGACUUAGACAUGACGGCAGUGGGAGGGGAGACUUUCAUGAUGCUUACUCAGCGACAUCCACGG
rnacentral:lncRNA from 1 species